CUGUAUAGCAAAAGUCAACAGGACAGGUCAUUCUGUACCUACUGGUCAACAGGAUAGGUCAUUCUGUUCCUACUUCUGUAUAGCACAGGUCAACAGGACAGGUCACUCUGUACCUACUACUGUAUAGCACAGGUCACCAGGACAGGUCAUUCUGUACCUACUACUGUAUAGCAAAAGUCAACAGGACAGGUCAUUCUGUACCUACUAUAGCACAGGUCAACAUACCGGACAGGUCAUUCUGUUCCUACUACUGUAUAGCACAUGUCAACAGCACAGGUCAUUCUGUUCCCACUACUGUAUAGCACAGGUCAACAGGACAGGCCAUUCUGUUCCUACUUCUGUAUAGCACAGGUCAACAGGACAGGUCAUUCUGUACCUACUGGUCAACAGGACAGGUCAUUCUGUCCCUACUACUGUAUAGCACAGGUCAUUCUGUUCCCACUACUGUAUAGCACAGGUCAACAGGACAGGCCAUUCUGUACCUACUACUGUAUAGCACAGGUCAACAAGACAGGUCAUUCUGCUCCUACUAUAGCACAGGUCAUUCUGCUCCUACUACUGUAUAGCACAGGUCAACAGGACAGGUCAAGUACAGACUUUGAUUCAAACUUUCCAUACAAACAUAACCAUGGAUUAUCAACACAUACAAGAUUAUCAAUAAAAGAGCAGAAAACAGUUUUCAAAAUUGUCAAGAAUACAUCAUGCAAUUCACAACACUAUGCCAAUAAUUAAUACUGAUGAUUAUAACGUUUUACCAUUAGCAUCUCAAAUAAAUAAAUAAAUACAUGUACCGUGCUGCAGAUGAGAAGAUUUACAUAAUCUAGUUCCUCACAGACUGGUCAAUAUGAUGUUAAUUAAAUGCUAUUUCAGAAUAGGUUGGAAGGAUAGAAAUUCGUAAAUAAAUAAAAUCGUAUGUACAGGAUUCAAAAUUAUUCUUUGAAGUAAGAACCAAAACUGCUUGAAAAAUGUUCACUUGGAUUAAGAAUGAAAUAAAAGAUUUGUAUACCAGUUUCCACUUCUACAAUCAUCACAAUAGUGUAAGCCAUUCCACUAAAGUUAGCACGCCUCACUGGUUUGGGGUUUUGAAAAAUUAAAACUGCAAUUUUGUUAUUAAAGAAAUUAUGAUUAUGUAAUUACACAUUCAAACAUCAUAAAUGUAGUACAAGAUGUAAAUGUACAAAAGUAGUUCAAUCCUUGUACUACACUCAAGACCCUAUAUAUUCUGAUGUUUGGAAGUUCCUCAAGACAUCAGCAUGAAAUUAUAUUUGAAGGUCAAAAAUGAGCAUCCACAUGUAGAUUAUAUAUAUAUAGCAGCUGGCCUAGGGCUGGACAAUAACAGUAGCCUGAUCAUGAUAGUAUUAGACUAGUGAUUUAUCCAGGUGGACUUUUAGCUCUCUAAAACUGCUAGCCCAAUGGACUAGGUUGAAUCUUGGUUGGUGGAAACUGCCAAUGGACUAGCUCUAUAGCAAAGCACAGAAG